AUUGAACGCUGGCGGCAUGCCUACUACAUGCAAGUCGAGCGGAGCGUCGGACGGGUGAGUACUGCCUAGGAAUCUGCCUGGUAGUGGGGGCUAACGUCCGGAAACGUGCGCUAAUACCGCAUACUAUCAGAUGAGUCUAGGUCGGAUUAGCUAGUUGGGGGGGUAAAGGCCUACCAAGGCGACGAUCCGUAACUGGUCUGAGAGGAUGAUCAGUCACAAUGGAACUGAGACACGGUCCAGAAGCCGAAGGGAGGCAGAAGUGGGGAAUAUUGGGCAAUGGGCGAAAGCCUGAUCCAGCCAUGCCGCGUGUGUGAAGAAGGGCGUCGGAUUGUAAAGCACUGUAAGUAGGGAAGCGUUACCAACAGAAUAAGCACCGGCUAACUUCGUGCCAGAAGCCGCGGUAAUAC
rnacentral:rRNA from 1 species